rnacentral:lncRNA from 1 species
UUGUGCUUAUAUGAGACAAGGAGGCUUAGGUAUUCGCAGUCUUGUGGCCUUAAACAAAGCUUUGCUUGGGAAGUGGAGCUAGAAAUUUGCUGUAAAAAAGGAUUCUUUGUGGAAACAAGUCAUUAUAGAGAAAUUUGAGGUAAAGGAAAUGGUUGGUGUUCGAGAGAAGUGAGGGGAGCCUAUGGUGUGGGAGUGUGGAAAACUAUUAGAAAAGAUUGGGAAAGUAUUCAUUCUAAAUCCCACUUUAUCGUAAAGAAUGGGAGGAAGGUCAAAUUUUGGAAGGAUUUGUGGUGUGAGGACCAAACUUUGAAAGAUGUUUUCCCUAAUUUGUUCCGAUUGGUGGUCAACAAGGAUGAGUGGGUGUUUGAUGCUUGGGAGGAAGGUGGAGAGGUGGGUAGUUCGAAUCCUUUGUUUUCAAGACACUUUAACAAUUGAGAAAUGGAAGAGGUGGAGGGCUUGCUCUGGAAACUCCAUCCUUUUGUUUUGAAUAGAGACAUGGAGGAUGUCUUGAGUUGGAAGAAUAACAAGAAGACUCAUUUUCUAUUAGAUCUCUCUACUGCUCUUUCACAAGAGCUUCUAGUGACCCUUUUCCUUAGAGUAUUAUUUGGAGAUCUUAGGCUCCGAUAAGGGUAAGUUUUUUUGCUUGGGAAACAUCUUGGAACAUAAUCUUGACCAUUGAUCAGCUCAAAAUAAGGGGUUGGAAUAUGCUGAAUAGGUGUUACUUGUGUAAAGUGGAAGAGGAAACCAAUGACCACUUGAUCCUAUUUUGUAAGAAGGCUACAAUGCUAUGGAGCUUACUUUUCUCUCUUUUUGAUAUGCAGUGGGUCCUGCACUCCUCAAUCAAAAGGAAUUUGAUUGGUUGGCAUGGUGCUUUUGUGAGUAAGAAAAAGGAAAAGGCUUUGAGGACUACCCCUCUUUAUUUAAUGUGGACUUUAUGGAAUGAAAGAAAUGAAAAAGUGUCAAAGAAAUGAAAAAGUGUUCAAUGACACUGAAUGAUCUGACCAACUUUAGAACUUUCUUUUUUAUACACUUUUGUGAAUUGGGGUAAGGUAUAUUUAGAGGAUCAUUCUUUAUCUAUGAUUGAUUUUUUAGAGUGGUUUUUGUAUAAAUAAGAGAAAGGUUUUCUUCUUUCUCUUUGUCUAACUUCUUGGGUGUUGCUUGUAUACUUCAUGUGUACUUUUUUCGCCGUUUCUAGGCUUUACUAAUACAAUCUCUUAUUUAACUGUAUAAAAAAAAAAAGAAGAUAAAUUUAGGAAUCUACUUAUCAUCAUGAAAGAAGAUAUAAAAUCAUAUUAUUUCUAUAUGAAAAUGAUUUUGAGCAAGUGAAAGUAGGAGAGGGAAGUUUACUUUGGAAUUAUCCUCAUCUAAAAGAAAGGGCACUUGGGGAGAGAGAAUGCAUAAACUUUAAUUUAAAUAUUUCAAAAUUUUUAAAGAAAUUUAAGUUUACAUAAGUGGGUUUCUAUUUUCCUUUUUUUUAAAAAAAAAAAAAAAUCACCAUACCAAAACAUGCUUUUCCCUAAUUGCAAUAACAAAUAGAACUAUAAAUAAAAAAAUUUAAUAAAUAAUGUAUGUUUUAUUUUUUUAUUUCAAAUUUAAAAUAAAAACAAAAUAUAUUUUUAAAAUAUGAGAUAUUUCUUAUCAUCCAAUAUUUAAAUAUUUUUUAUUUUAAAAAUAUUUUCUUAGUAUUAUUUCACCCAUUUGAAUUAUUAACUAUCAUUUACUUAUUUUCUUAAUAUUCAAUAAAAAAAUUUAAAUGAUAUUGUAAUAAUUCUCAAGAUAAAAUUCAAAAUUAAGAGAAAUACAAUUUUUUUUAAAUCUUAUUUAAUAUAUAUUAAAUAAUAUUUAUUACGAUACUAAAAUUAAUGCUUUUUAUUUUUAAAAUUAAAUUAUAAAAUGUAAAAUAUAAUAUAAUGUUUUUAAAAAAAUUAAAUGAUAUUUUUUGAAAUAAUAAAUUUUAAAAUUUAUCAGGUAUCAUGGUCUUAGAAAAUUUGAAAAUUAAAUUUUGAGGGUAGAUGCUGACGAUCUUGCCUGCUGGUAUCAAGCAUUUGGUGCAAAAGCAUAUUAAUUAGAAGCCAUGCCUGCCAAAAAGCUGCAUACACUUUGUGGUGGAAGGGUUUUUUUGAAUCUUGUACAUGUAUAUAUACACAAGGCUUACGCUUGACUUUCUAUUGGUUUCAGGCUUCCAGCAUAUUAAAGGACAUGGGCAGAAAGAAGGAUGGUAUGAUGGUGAAAGCACAGUUGUCUCUGUCUUUGUAGUCAUUGUUGUAUCCACUGUAAGGGGCUCAGGCAUAUAGACAAUUUCAACAAGAUAUUCAAAGCCAUAAACAAUAUCCUGGUUGAUGUUGUCCGAAUGGGGGCAGCAUCAGCAGAUUUGGAUACUUGAGAUUGUUGUCAGAGAUGUUGUUCGCUUAAAAGAUUGGAGAUCAAUUUGAUUGUUCUCGGAUGGGCCUUUGUUCCAAGUCGAUGACACGACCCUGACGGAUCAGGAGCGAGGAGAACCCGUACCCUCAAUAGGUAAGGUUGGUCUGCCAGUUUUGUUGCUGAGAAUGGUGGCAGAUCCCAUACCCUCACCGUCUGGUCAGCAAUCAUUGAUCUCUUCGUCGGGCGGAGUACAGAGGGCCUCCUGGGGUGCCACAGCAAUAAUAAUAACUGCAGCAACAAUGGAUUCAUGCACUUGUAGCAAAUUUUCAUCCAACAACAAUCUAUGAGCAGGAGCUUCUUCAUCUCCUAUCUUUCAAACAAACAACACCUCUGACUACAAUUUCAAAAAUCCAAAUCUGCUGAAGCUGCCCAUUUCAAACAACAUCAACCCGGAUAUUGUUGCUGACAUUGGAUAAUUCCUGGGGAAUCACCUGUUACACCUUAAGUUACUCAAAACACAGACCAAACUUGAUGACUAGAAAGGCAGCAACAAGUAUGCUUCCCCCAUCAUACUGCCAUUCUUUCAG